GCGGAAGCGGCGAGCGGGAACCACCUGCCACGCAGGACCCUGUGAUUGAUGGGGGUAUCAUCAGCUUGACGAAGGUUUGAGAGGGAACAACGCCUAUCUCUCGUAUUUUCAGACCUGUGAGAAUGGUAUACCUGCACGUUGAUUCCUCCUGUAAUUAAAAGGAGAGCUGCAGAAAUCUGCAGGACCAAAGACAGCGAAAACUCGUCCCGGCUCUUCGAUGGUAGGGUCCGGAGUUAUCCAUCAAUGGAGAUCCUGGAAUAAAAUUCACAAGGGAAGAAGAACUGCCUCUCUUGGAUAUCCUCAUCAGCAGAGGAAAUGGUGCAAAUUAGAAACACAAAUCUAUUGAAAAACCACGCAUACUAACCAAGUGCUUCAUUAGCAAAUAAUAACACUGCCUUCCAUAAGAGGAGCUUUGUGAGAACAUUCAGAUGGCAACAAAUGUAGUAAAACAACCCAGAAGACCAGAAAAAGGAAAUGACUGCCUAUACAUCCUCCAACAGAAUUACCUGAAAACUCAACCUGCUACAGAAUAGCCAACACUGCCAUACCACAAAAACAUUUCAGAAACAACAGGCUAAUGCAAGUACAUGGCAUCACUCUAGAACACAAACCAACUAAACUUUCCAAAGCAUCUUAAGUAAAGCAAAAGACUCAAUAGUCUAAGAAGAAAAAAAAACCAGGAGCCAUCUACAUCAUACAGUAUAAGGACUGUAAUAAAGGAAGAAGACUAACACAGCAUAUCCAUGAACAACAAGCAGUCAGUAUACUUGAUGAAAACUCCUUGGUCUCACAAAAGAUGAACUGACAGCCAUAAGACCCAACUUGGGAAAUGUGGGCAUCCUAGACCAAACUAAAUCCAAAAAUGCUAGGAAAUUCCUGGAAACUUGGUAUUUGAACAAAUCAGCCAUCUGUAGGCAUAGAGAUAAACCACAUUUACACACCAAUCGAGAAUAAAAAAGCAAAGAAGAAAACAAGACCACUGCAUAGCCCAGAGACAGACAAAUAAGCAGGGAUUAACAUGAGGCAAACAACCAAGCAGAAAACAAUACUCUAAUCAAGGAGAUAUCAAGAAGAAAACUAAACAGUCACCAACACUGGCAAGGCAAGCUAUUGUAUAUAAAUGGAGAGCAAACUCCACUGCCUUCUAC
rnacentral:lncRNA from 1 species